rnacentral:rRNA from 1 species
GUCUUUUUGAUAAUAAUUUAAAGUCUAAUCUGCCCACUGAUUUUAUUAAAGGGCUGCAGUAUAUUGACUGUACAAAGGUAGCAUAAUCAUUAGUUUUUUAAUUGAAAACUUGUAUGAAAGAUUUAAUGAAAUAUUAACUGUCUCUUAGUUAUUAUUAAAAUUUUAUUUUUUAGUUAAAAAGCUAAAAUAAAUUUAAAAGACGAGAAGACCCUAUAGAGUUUUAUAUUUAUUGUUAUUUUAAAAAUAUAUUUAAAUUAAUAUUAAAUAAAAUUAAAUAUUGUAUUGGGGUGAUAGAAAAAUUUAAUUAACUUUUUUUAAAUUUUAUACACAAAUAAGUGAAUAAAUGAUCCAUAUUUAAUGAUUAUAAGAAAAAAUUACCUUAGGGAUAACAGCGUAAUAUUUUUUUUUAGUACAUAUAAAAAGAAAAGUUUGCGACCUCGAUGUUGGAUUAAGAUAAAAUUUAGACGCAAAAGUUUAAAAUUUUGAUCUGUUCGAUCAUUAAAAUCUU